rnacentral:rRNA from 1 species
GAGUGGUGCUAACGUUAUUCGGAUUUACUGGGCGUAAAGGGUGCGUAGACGGUAUAAUAAGUCAACUGUUAAAUUUUCCGGCCUAACCGGAAAUCCGCGGUAGAAACUGUUAUACUUGAGGAUGGAAGAGAGAAGUGGAAUUCUCGGAGUAGCGGUAAAAUGCGUAGAUCUCGAGAGGAACACCGAUGGCGAAAGCAGCUUCUUGGUCCAUUCCUGACGUUGAGGCACGAAAGCGUGGGGAGCAAACAGGAUUAGAUACCCUGGGUAGUCCACGCUGUAAACGAUGAUCACUGAACGUUAGCUUUGUUUUGCAAAGUUAGUGUUGUAGCUAACGCGUUAAGUGAUCCGCCUGGGGAUUACGGUCGCAAGACUA